GCCCCUCCAGUAUAGUGGAUAUGACUCUCGGCUUGUAACCGAGUGGGUUCGAACCCCGAGUAAGGCA